AUGGCUUCGCCCCCUCCCACGCAUGGCCAGGGUCCAAUGCCCGGCGACACACAAGCCUCUGCCGGAGGCUUCCACACCUUCCCGUCUCUCGCCGACCAGGGCACUAAGUUCUCAAAGACUUGCAUCAUGAAGGCUGCACAGUUUGGACCUUGGUCAGAUCUUCCUACGGAACUCCUGGGCCUUGUCCUAAAGCGCCUCGAUUCCCUAGCUGACCGUGUUCGUCUGAGAGCAGUCUGUCACCCAUGGCGCUCUAAUAGUAUGUUGCAAAAUCUCCCCCUCCCAUUCCCUUGGCUCACCCUCACCGAUGGAACCUUCCUCAGCAUCCAAGGCAGUGAGGUUCACCGCAUGCCUCUGCCAGAUGGUGCUCGUUGGCACGGCUCCAUUGAUAACAGGCUAUUCCUCAUAAGCUGUGAUGGUGCGUGUUCAUUGCUGAACCCUUUUUCCAAGAGCACACUGGAGCUUCCUAAUCUUGCAAGUGUUUGGCAGCGCGAGAUAGAUAACCAUGCUGAAUAUACUAAUGAUCCAGUUUCCUAUAAGUUAGUGGCGCCCUCGCCACUGGAAUCAUCACCCAAGUCCCUUGUUGCUGCGUUGAUCAUCGGCAAUUGUUAUUCUGUUGAUCUUUGUGUCGUUCAACCACCUGUCACCACUUACUCAUUCAGAGGUAUACGUACUGCACUGGGGGAGCCACCAACAUUAGUGGACCUUGCAUUCUUGGAUGGAAGGCUGUAUGUGGUAUCUGGAUUUUUCAAGCUUUUCGUCGUUGAUUUUGGUGAGAACCUUGGUACUUAUCCAAAGAUGAAAUGCGUAAUUGAUUCUGGUGGUGAUUGUGGAACGCCCCAAUACCUGUCUAAGAAGGUGCUUUAUGGACUCAGCCAGUAUUUAGUGGAAUGUGGUGGUAGGCUGCUGAUGGUGCAAAGAUUUACACACUCACCGGGUUUUGGGAAUUCUCACACUGUUGGAUUUAAUGUCCUUGAGGCAGACUUGCGCACUAACCCUGGUCAGUGGAGAACGGUGAGUGAUUUGGGUGGCCACGCGCUCUUUCUUGGUAAGCAAAGCUCAAAGUCCCUGCCUGCUGGAGAAUGCAGUGGAUCCCAGGAGGACUGCAUCUACUUCAUCUGCGAUUAUCCUUGUCCAGAGUCUUAUGCAGAACCUCUUCGCGACGCUGGCAUAUACAACGUGAGAAGUGGGAUGAUAAUGCCCUUGCAUUUAAGGAAUCCUGCAGUACCGCAACGCCAAGCUGGUCAGUGGGGCCUGACCUGGUUUUUUCCUUCUGAAGCUAUAUGA
rnacentral:rRNA from 1 species